UUUGUUUUUCUACUUUUUACCUCAUGGGCUUUAUUUGGUUGACUACUGAUCCCAUCAAGGGCUGUUGCGCCACCAUCAAGUCCACAUGGCCCUCUUAGGGAGUGGUGGGCCCACCUGGUGGACCCCCGGUACCCGUUCGUCACUCCCGGUACACUGCCGGUAAUGCGCGAAAUCCUUCCGGGAUCCAAAUACCAACUUCCUACAUAUCAAUCUUCAUUUUCC
rnacentral:lncRNA from 1 species